rnacentral:rRNA from 1 species
GAAGGUUGGCUCAGAGCGGUCGGAAAUCGCUCGUUGAGUGUAAUGGCAGAAGCCAGCCUGACUGCGAGACUGACAAGUCGAGCAGAGUCGAAAGACGGCCAUAGUGAUCCGGUGGUCCCGAGUGGAAGGGCCAUCGCUCAACGGAUAAAAGGUACGCCGGGGAUAACAGGCUGAUACUGCCCAAGAGUCCAUAUCGACGGCAGUGUUUGGCACCUCGAUGUCGGCUCAUCUCAUCCUGGGGCUGGAGCAGGUCCCAAGGGUACGGCUGUUCGCCGUUUAAAGAGGUACGUGAGCUGGGUUUAGAACGUCGUGAGACAGUUCGGUCCCUAUCUGCCGUGGGUGUAGGAUACUUGAGAGGAGUUGCCCCUAGUACGAGAGGACCGGGGUGAACGAUCCACUGGUGGACCUGUUGUUGCGCCAGCAGCAGUGCAGGGUAGCUAUGAUCGGACAGGAUAACCGCUGAAGGCAUCUAAGCGGGAAGCCCCCCUCAAAACAAGGUAUCCCUGAGGACCGUGGUAGACCACCACGUCGAUAGGCCGGAGAUGUAAGCGCGGCAACGCGUUCAGUUGACCGGUACUAAUUGUCCGAUAGGCUUGAUUUGAUCCAG